rnacentral:lncRNA from 1 species
UUUUUUUUUUUUUUUUGCUCUUUAGGGCCACACCUGUGGCAUAUGGAAGUUCCCAGGCUAGGGGUCGAAUUAGAGCUACAGUUGCUGGCCUACACCACAGCCACAGCAACACAGGAUCCGAGCUGCAUCUGUGACCUACACCACAGCUCAUGGCAACGCCGGACCCUUAACCCACUGAACAAGGCCAGGGACGGAACCUGCAACCUCACGGUUUCUAGUUGGAUUCGUUUCUGCUGUGCCACGACGGAAACUCCAGUUAAGACUUUCUUGGGUCUUUUCUCUGUUAGCUAGUGUAGUCUCUCUUUCUACCUGCUUUAUAUUACAAACAGAUCUGAAUAAGCACAUUUAUUAUUAAAGACUGAUAAGGCUUUCUCCGAGAUGUUGAAAAACACACCGAACAGUGCAGAGCUGAGGUCAAAGACUGGUGGAACGCCAAAACUACCUGAAGACAGACUUAGUAAAUGGCUCUAGCUGACUCUACUAUGAUCUAGUCCAGUGGCUGGAGUUUCCUUGGUGCCUUUCUACCCAUCUCCCUAAAUCCAUCUGACAAGCUCAGAUUCAGUGCCAUCUCUUUCCUGAACCAUGCUCUGAUCAUUGCAGCAGCAGUCUCUCUCCUUCUGUUUAAUUUCCUGUAAUAUUCUGUUUGUACUACUGUGGAGACAUUGAUCUCAUACUACCUUGAAUUAUGAUCAUUCAUGUAUGUGUCUCAGUAUCUGUUCUAAACCAUAAGAAACUUAAAAGAGGAACUGUGGGAGUUCCCACUAUGGCACAGUGGGUUAAGAAUCCAACUGCAGCUCUUCAGGUCACUGCAGAGGCAUGGGUUCAAUCCCCAGUCUGGCACAGUAGCUUCCAAAGAUCUGGUGUUGUCAUAGCUGCUAUAUAGGUAACAGCUGGGGCUCAGAUUCAAUCCCUAGCCCAGGAACCUCCAUAUGCCAUGGGUGUGGCCAUUAAAAAAAAAUAAACAUGCAGUGUGAUUUCUUUGAUGAUUUUGCCUCAGAAUUUAGGUGUGCUUCAUAGAGAAAUAAAAUAUUCAGUGCUGUUAAAAUUACUAUUAAAUCUCAUACCCUCAGGGGCUAUAUAUCUGAAAAACUGUGACAAAUACUUAAAAUAAAUUGAAAUCGUCCAUAUCAAAAACCCUGCUAGAAUAGAUACCUCUCCCCAGUCUUCUUCAAUUAUUCAUGGCAAAAAUUUGCAAAAGCAUCACAAAUUGUGUGUUUAAAGUUUAGAGAAUGAAUCAUUUUAGAGUUUUCAAACCAGUCUUACUAGCUUGAAGUUAAUGUUUCUUGCAACUGCAUUUCCUUGUUUUGAUUCCAUCUGUCUUGGUCCAACGCUUGGUAACUGCUCUGCCUUUUUGUGUUGCUUUGAUGCUUCCAGGUGUGUUUUUGUAGCUAUGUUCCUCCAUCCCUCCAUAUGAUUGACUGUAGCCCAAUCAUACCUCUUCUCUCUGCACCAUGUCACAGAAUCACCUUAAUGAAAGGAUGGACAAUAACUGUUUUUGGUAUUUUUCCAUUUCAGGGGAUGAACACACUGAAUGUGUGUAUAGAAAUGUAGAGGGCUUUGCAUUUGGUUUGCAAUAUAAAGAUAUGUAAUUUCUAAAUCAUGAUUUCCACACUGUGGCUGGAAAGGGAUUACAAUCUCCUCCUUGUGAUUUUCAUCAUUUACUCAACAAAUAUUUCCUCCUGAGCGUUCACCAUGUGCUAAUUAAUUGCACUGUUCUAGAUGUUGAAGAUACAGGGAGUCCGCCCUCUCAAUGAACUUACAUUCCAAUGGGGAAGAGAGAUGGAAAAUAACUUUGUACAUAAAUUUUGUUGUUGAUGUUGUUCUUUGGGGUCCCAUCUGCGGCAUAUGGAAGGUCACAGGCGAGGGCUCGCAUUGGAGCUGCAGCUUCUGGCCUACACCACAGCUCAUGGCCAUGCAGGAUCCGAGCCAUGUCUUCGACAUACACCACAACUCACGUGUCAUACUGGAUCCUUAACCCACUGAGCAAGCCCAGGAAUUGAACCUGAGUCCUCGUGGAUACUAGUCGGGUUUGUUUCCACUGAGCCACGAUGAGAACUCUUGUACAUAAAAUCUUUUCUGACAGGUGUUAAGAAAAGAAUUAAAGUCUAAGUUGCUCAUUUUCAAGGCUAGAAUCCCUUGGACCAUAAUGAAUAUUUCUGAACUAAAAAUUCACACUUUAUAAUUCUACACUUACGCUAAUAUAUGUUCAAUACUGCUAUUUCUCAACAGCUGGCUGCCACCUCAGAUCACUGCCCACCCCAAACUUUCCUACUCAGUAAUCCAACAUUUUGUUGGAGUCACAUUGUUCCCAUGGGAUUUAGAGGUUAAUCUGAGUCCUUUAUACCAAUCAGGGUAAUCUUAUUCUCUUUGAUUGUGAUUGUUUUAGGCAGAGGGAUGGAACUCUGCUAAUGAAAACCAGAAGUCUGACACAAGGCUUUUGUUUGUUUGUUUGUUUUUUGUGUUUUAGGGCUGUACCCACGGAAUAUUGAAAUUCCCAGGCUAGAGGUCGAACCACAGAUGUAGCUGCCGGCCUACACCACAGCCAUAGCUAUGCGGAUCCUAGCCUCAUCUGCAACCUACACCACAGCUCAUGGCAACGCCGGAUCCCCAACUCACUGAGCAAGGCCAGAGAUCGAACCCACAUCCUCAUGGAUAUUAGUCAGAUUCGUUUCUGCUGUGCCACAAAGGGAACUCCGACACAGGCUUUUGAGAAAGAUUUCCUGGCUUGUAAAAGAAGAAGACUCAGGAAAAAAAAUGGUCUUCUCUACCCCUGGAAACCUGGUGGUGUUCUGGUUGGUCUUGCACCUGUGACAUCAUCUUGCAACUCCAAAGAAGCCAGCUCAGGUAUACAGCCUAUGUGCCAAGAAGUCACAGGAGAAAAAGAGAAAGAAAUGAUUUUUUUCUUUUUUUUUUUUUUUUUUUACAGUCGCAUCUGCGGCAUAUUGACAUUCCUGGGCUAGGAGUUGAAUUGGAACUACAGCUGCCUGCCUAAACUAUAGCCACAGCAACACGGGUUUGAGCCACAUCUUCGACCUAUGGCCAUAGCUGUGGCAAUCCCAGAUCCUUAACCGACUGAGCCAGGCCAGGGAUCAAACCCACAUCUUCAUGGGGACUCUGUUGGGUUCUUAACCUGCUGAGCCACAAUGGGAACUCCAGAAAUGAUCUUGUUGACGACAGAGUUGAGCCAUGAAACUGCCCAACCCUGGAGGCACCCCAUUUUGAGUCCUCUUGUUCUGUGAGAUAAAUGCCUUUUCUGUUUCCAGCAGCCUAGAGCAUUUUCACAGAUAAAAGUAGAUACAAAUGCACAUACAUAGUGAGCAGUCUGGCUGACUGAUUAAAUGUAUAUGUAGGAAUAAAUUAUCUCCCCCCUCCAUUCAUGAUUGUCAUAUUUAUUUUUACCUCAGGCAAAAGGAACAGUAGAAUUAGAAAAUUUCAGGAUUGAAAAUAAAUAUCUGAAUUUGCUACAAUUAAAAAAAUGAAUUCAAUACGUAGUGGUAUUACAGUAAAAUAAAAGAGAUGCCUACAAAUUUGUUAACUGCUGAGGACAUAGUAUGACAUCAAAUAAACCAAUUUUUCUUUAAGUUCUUU